GACAGAGGUGCCAAGCGUUAGGCGGAAUCACUGGGCUUAAAGCGUGUGUAGGUGGACCUGUAAGUAUCUUGUGAAAUCCCACGGCUCAACCGUGGAACUGCUGGGCAUACUGCGGGUCUUGGGCCAACUAGGGGCAGCCGGAACAAGCGGUGGAGCGGUGAAAUGCGUAGAUAUCGCUUGGAACGCCGAAGGUGAAAACAGGCUGCUGGGGUUGCGCCGACGCUGAGACACGAAAGCCAGGGGAGCAAACGGG
rnacentral:rRNA from 1 species